rnacentral:lncRNA from 1 species
UUUUGUGCACAAUCCUUGCUCUCGUCUGAGGGUACCCAAUUUGUGAGCGGGGUGGGGAGUGUUACCUGCAGUCAUGGCAGCCUCAGUUGCCUCCGUUGGGUGCAAGGUCGCUGCCUCAUUGGCCUCGACCACCAAGCUCGAGAAGACCUCCGCUGUUAGGUCGACCUCUGUAAACAACGCCUUCGGCCUCAAGCCCUCCGCCGCCCGCGUCUCCUGCAGCUUAGGUGAGAAUGUGAAGAGCGUCGUGGACAGCGCCAAGGCUGCUGCCAUCGUCUUGGCAUCGUCUGCUCUCGUUGCUGGGGUGAGAUCUCUUCCGUAUCCUACUAUUUAAUGCAUUCUCUUUUCUCAUUCCACGAAGAGAACUCGUUUACUAGUUGGAUCACUGCGCGCUGAGGGAGUAUCAGGGUUAAUUAACUAUUAUUUCUACGUCACACCGCCCAGAUUUUUGCAAAAGAGUGGUCAGAUUGGGGCAAUAAUCAUAGUUGAAUAUAAUUUUCAGUGUUUUCGAGUAUCUCAAUGCUGGUUUUUUCUUCCAUUCUGAAACUUAUGGGGUUGUACAACUUGCCGUUGGCGAUAUUGUUACUCUUGUUACUCAUACUCCCGAUAUCAUGUGCUCAGGCUUCCUUUGCUGAGGGAGUGCCACAAAGGUUGACCUUCGACGAGAUCAACGCCCAGACCUACUUGGACGUGAAGGGCUCAGGAACAGCCAACCAGUGCCCCAUUGUUGCCGAGGGUUCCGACAAGUUCAACUUAAAGGAUGGCAACUACCAGAUGAAGAAGCUGUGUCUCGAGCCCACCUCCUUCACUGUCAAGGCUGAGUCCCAGUUCAAGCAAGGUGGCGAGGACUACCAGCCUACCAAGCUGAUGACCCGCUUGACUUACACCUUGGACGAGAUUGAGGGUCCAUUGACCAUCAGCAACGGCAAUCUGAAGUUUGAGGAGAAGGAUGGCAUCGACUACGCUGCCGUGACUGUGCAACUCCCAGGGGGCGAGAGGGUUCCUUUCCUCUUCACCAUCAAGGAGUUGGUUGCAACUGGAAAGCCUGAGGCAUUCGGUGGAUCCUAUUUGGUGCCCUCAUACAGAGGAUCGUCUUUCUUGGACCCCAAGGGCAGGGGUGGAUCUACCGGAUACGAUAACGCCGUGGCACUUCCUGCCGGAGGAGCUGGUGAUGAGGAAGAGCUUGCGAAGGAGAAUGAGAAGAACACCGCUGCUUUGAAUGGAAAC